rnacentral:lncRNA from 1 species
UUGUAAGUUUUUUUGAUUCCAUGCAGUUUUCUCAGAAAUAGAACUAUCCCAUUUCCUUCUAGGAUUUUCAUCCCAAGGGGUAUCACGUGGUAUUGAACCAAUCUUUGAUUUCCCUGUUUUGGGAAAUGAAGUCUUUAGACCUUCCAUACAUUUUAUUCCUUCUUGCAUAUGAGGACUUUGUUUCAUCAUGUAUCCAGAAAUAGGCUCUAAAACAGUUUCUCUAAAGUGUGUUUCUUGCUUUGUUUUUUGCACUAUGUGAGACAAAUUCCAAGAUCUGCCUUCGGGACUCUUCGGUUCAGAUCCUGAUUUGCAAGGGUCAGGAUCUUUCAUUUGAUGUGUACUGAAACGGAGGUGUUGACUAUAGCAUGGAACUGAUUCUGUUAACAUUUUUUGAAUAUUUUUAUCUUCCCUUUCAUGUUGUACAUUCAUGUUCAUUGCAUUACUAGAUCCACUUUCCAUGUCAGUCAAAUUGGCCUUCUGUGCCUCCCCACCAUGUGGUGAUUUCUGUAACUCCAGGACAGUUGCUUGUAGAUCUUUAUUAAACUCUGCCUUUUCCCCUUUACCUGAAUUGUGCUGUUCCCCCAUACAUUUCCUAUCAGUUGGUACACCACGUUUUAUUGCACCAGUUAAAACUUCACCAUUUACUGAGUCCUCUGAUUUUAGAGGAAGAAGUUUUGAAUUUACUGUACAUAUUGUGCCAUUUUGGGUCUGGAGGCAUUUCUUUGUCUCCUCUCUUUGUAUUGGCUCUGCAGGCUGAAGUUGCUGUGGGACAUCUUGUUUGGUAACAAACAGAAUUUUCCUACUUCCUUGGUUUUCUAAUUUGUGAAAGUCAAGAUCCUUCCCCUGACCUGAACGGAACAUGAAAUGUUGCAGGUGCUGUGGAAUUACUUUUAACAAUGCCUCCUGUUUCCUUUCUUCUUGCUCUUCAUCUUGAAGAAGGGUUUCUUUAAUGUCACGUGAAGUAAUACUAUCUUCAUGUGGAGAUGUAUCUUGCUUUACUUGAGUAGAACUGAGUCUUUUUUCUCUUAGCGUGUCUUUUUCUGUUUCUACCUUGCUAUACUUGUUAAUGUCAGGUGUCAUAGUCAGGAAAGCAUAUGUUUCAUCUACCCCCUUUUUGCCUUGAUGCAGUUCUUUCAUUUUGGUUGUCAAGUUACAGCUCAGUUCUUUUCUACGUUUCGGACCAGCACCAGCCCUGAUAUUGAGCAUGUAUGAAAUUGAUGGCUUCUUUGCCUUUAUAAUUCCACAUUUGGGAUUCACUAAAGUUUUCAUGUCUGAAAAUUGUUUUAAGUUUCUCGUCGUUUUAGGUGUAGAUAAAGCAGGCAUGCAGGAACCAAAAAUCGCUGUCUCUUUCUUUUCAGUACCACCAGCCUGUUCCUUUUGAUGGCUAGAAUCAGAUGAGAUACCACCUUCUCUUGCAUAAAAUAUGAUUUCAUCAACCUUUGCUUCCCCAGACUUUAGAGGUGAAAACCUAACAUGACUCUCUACCUUUUCAAAUGGAAAUUGAUCCAGUGUAGGGCAUGAAGUAGACUUCAAAAUAGUUUGUGUAAAAUGUGUUUGUGGUUGUACCUGAAUAUUUGUACUUCCUGGUUGGUUCAGUUCCUCAUCUGAUUUGACAAGCUCAUUAUCCUUCUGAUAUGCAUUGAGUAUUAAGCCAUCGCUGUUCUCCAGAGCCUGUAAAGCUUUGGGAGGUGGAAUCUUAGGACCUCCAAGGACUUUUAUGUCAUUUUCUGUUUCGUUGGCUUUUU